GUAUAUUUCAUAUAUAUGUAUAAUCCCAAACAUAUUUAAAUUGUGUGUGUAGAAAAAUCAUAGCUCAGACAGAGAGCUACAGUUUGUGCACAAAGGUGUAAAUAUAUGGAAGAAAGAAGAAGAAGAUAAAGUGAAGCGUGUGCACAUGCAUAAAAGCCAGCAACAACUACUUACACACUUCAAUCCCCUCCCCCUUUCAUAUAUAUUUCAUUAAUGAUCCUUCCGCAGGUUCACCUACGGAAA
rnacentral:misc_RNA from 1 species